CUGGCGGCGUGCCUAACACAUGCAAGUCGAACGGACGACUUCGAACGGAGCCUUCGGGCAAAGAUCGGGGAAGUUAGUGGCGGACGGGUGAGUAACACGUGGGUAAUUUACCUCUUAGAUCGGGACAACACUGGGAAACCGGUGCUAAUACCGAAUAAAGUUUAGUAAAGACAUCUUUAAUAGAUGAAAGGAGGCCUCUCGCAGAAGCUCCCGCUAAGAGAUAAGCCCGCGCCUGAUUAGCUAGUUGGUAAGGUAAUGGCUUACCAAGGCAACGAUCAGUAGCCGGCCUGAGAGGGUGAACGGCCACACUGGGACUGAGACACGGCCCAGACUCCUACGGGAGGCAGCAGUGGGGAAUAUUGCGCAAUGGGGGAAACCCUGACGCAGCAACGCCGCGUGAGUGAAGAAGGUUUUCGGAUCGUAAAACUCUGUCAAUUGGGAAGAAGGCUCAUACGUUAAUAGCGCGUGAGAUGACGGUACCUAAGAAGGAAGCUCCGGCUAACUACGUGCCAGCAGCCGCGGUAAUACGUAGACGCGAAGAACCUUACCAAAUCUUGACAUCGAAAGAAUCCUGAAGAAAUUCGGGAGUGCCCUUCGGGGAACUUGAAGACAGGUGGUGCAUGGUUGUCGUCAGCUCGUGUCGUGAGAUGUUGGGUUAAGUCCCGCAACGAGCGCAACCCCUACUGUAUGUUACUAACAGGUUAAGCUGAGGACUCAUACGGGACUGCCGGUGUAAGCCGGAGGAAGGUGGGGAUGACGUCAAAUCAUCAUGCCCCUUAUGAUUUGGGCUACACACGUACUACAAUGGAUGGUACAGAGGGAAGCUAAGCCGUGAGGUGGAGCGGAACCCAAAAAACCAUUCUCAGUUCGGAUUAUAGUCUGCAACUCGACUAUAUGAAGUCGGAAUCGCUAGUAAUCGCAGGUCAGCAUACUGCGGUGAAUACGUUCCCGGGCCUUGUACACACCGCCCGUCACACCACGAAAGUCGGCAACACCCGAAGCUGGGGAAGUAACCAUUUAUGGAGCUAACCAUCUAAGGUGGG
rnacentral:rRNA from 1 species